GGGGCUGGGCUGGAGUGAAGGUGGCUACGAGGCAUAUGCAAUGUUUUCCAGAUUUAGGAGACUUCAGAAAGGUGGGGCAGAUAGAAUGGAGAUGGCAAAGAUCUCUUUGGGUAUAUAUGGGCCUGGCGAAGUAAUGGAAUAAUUUCUAAUUUUCGGACAAGCCCUCAUGCCGGGAUGGCAGAAGAUGAGCCUGAUGCUAAGAGCCCCAAGACUGGGGGAAGGGCCCCCCCAGGUGGUGCUGAGGCUGGGGAACCUACCACCCUUCUUCAGAGGCUCCGAGGUACCAUUUCCAAGGCCGUGCAGAACAAAGUAGAGGGGAUCCUGCAAGAUGUACAGAAAUUUUCUGACAAUGACAAGCUGUAUCUCUACCUUCAGCUCCCCUCAGGACCCACCACUGGAGACAAAAGCUCAGAGCCAAGUACACUGAGCAAUGAGGAGUACAUGUAUGCCUAUAGGUGGAUCCGCAACCACCUGGAAGAGCACACUGACACCUGUCUGCCAAAGCAAAGUGUUUAUGAUGCCUAUCGGGACUCUUCGAGCCUACCCAUGGCCUCC
rnacentral:sRNA from 1 species